UCUUUCUUAUGAUGAAAUAAUUUGCGAUUGAGAGAAAAGGUUCGAAACAUGCCUAGUUUCAAUGUGUUCUCUUUUCGAAAUGCGAUAAAUUUCUUUCUGAAUAAAGG
rnacentral:snoRNA from 2 species